rnacentral:rRNA from 1 species
UUAAAAAGCUCGUAGUUGGAUUUCUGGGAGGGUGCCAAUGUCCGUCAACGUGCGUGUGCAGCGGCGCCCUUCCAUCCUUCUGUUAACGCCUCUGGGCAUUUAUUUGCUGGUGGCGGGCUCAGAUAUUUUACCUUGAGAAAAUUAGAGUGUUUCAGGCAGGCUAGGCCGGAAUACAUUAGCAUGGAAUAAUAGAAUAGGACUAUGGUCUCUUUGUUGGUUUGAGGGACUAUGGUAAUGAUUAAUAGGGAUAGUUGGGGGCAUUAGUAUUUAAUUGUCAGAGGUGGAAUUCUCAGAUUUGUUAAAGACUAACUUAUGCGAAAGCAUUUGCCAAGGAUGUUUUCAUUAAUCAAGAACGAAAGUUAGGGGAUCAAAGACGAUCAGAUACCG